rnacentral:rRNA from 1 species
AUUGAACGCUGGCGGCAUGCCUAACACAUGCAAGUCGAGCGAGCGGAGGACGGGUGAGUAAUGUCUGGGAAACUGCCUGAGGGAGGGGGAUAACUACGGGAAAAGGUAGCUAAUACCGCAUACCAUCAGAUGAGCCCAGAUGGGAUUAGCUAUCAGGUGGGGGAACGACUCACCUAGGCGACGAUCCCUAGCUGGUCUGAGCGGAUGACCAGCCACACUGGCAAUGAGCAACUGUCCAGACGCAUACGGGAGGCAGCAGUGGGGAAUCUUGCACAAUGGGGGCAAGCCUGAUGCAGCCAUGCCGCGUGUGUGAAGAAGGCCUUAGGGUUGUAAAGCACUUUCAGCGGUGAGGCGUUACCCGCAGAAGAAGCACCGGCUAACUCCGGGCCAGCAGCCGCGGUAAUAC